AUUGAACGCUGGCGGCAUGCCUUACACAUGCAAGUCGAACGGCAGCACGGGUGCUUGCCCCUGGUGGCGAGUGGCGAACGGGUGAGUAAUACAUCGGAACACGUCCUGUAGUGGGGGAUAGCCCGGCGAAAGCCGGAUUUAUACCGCAUACGAUCUACGGAAGAAAGCGGGGGACCUUCGGGCCUCGCGCUAUAGGGUUGGCCGAUGGCUGAUUAGCUAGUUGGUGGGGUAAAGGCCUACCAAGGCGACGAUCAGUAGCUGGUCUGAGAGGACGACCAGCCACACUGGGACUGAGACACGGCCCAGACGCCUACGGGAGGCAGCAGUGGGGAAUUUUUGACAAUGGGCGAAAACCUGGUCCAGCAAUGCCGCGUGUGUGAAGGAGGCCUUCGGGUUGUAAAGCACUUUUGUCCGGAAAGAAAUCCUUGGCCCUAAUACGGUCGGGGGAUGACGGUACCGGAAGAAUAAGCACCGGCUAACUACGUG
rnacentral:rRNA from 1 species